GCCCGAGUGGUAUCCGCGAAUAUUGGGUUUAAAGCGGGCGUAGCUGGUUCGGCGUGUUCUCUGUGAAAUCCUUCAGCUUAACUGAGGGGCGUGCAGAGAAUACUACCGAGCUUGAGAAUGGGGGAGGUUAGAGGUGCGUACAGAGUAGCGGUUAAAUGCGUUAAUCCUGUACGGACCCACAGCGGCGAAGGCGUCUAACUAAAACAUGUCUGACAGUGAGGCCCGAAGGCUAGGAGAACGAAACGGAUUAGAUA
rnacentral:rRNA from 1 species